UUAACUGGUUGUUGUAGGUUAAAUAUUAAAAAACAAAUAAAAUUGAAAUGUGAAGCUUCUCUCUCCGAUUUCGCUGCUGCUCCUCUCUCUUUCAUAAGGAUCAAAUAUGGGUCCAUUCCAUGAAAUCAAUUCUAGCGCUCAAUCGUCUACUGGGAUUGAAACUUGCUCCCUCUGAUACAUGAAAUCAUGAAAUUAGAAGCUGGGUUCGAUGAAGUUGAUUGGCUUUGGAUUCCCAGACAUCUAAAUCACGGUGCCCAUGUAGCGGCAGGGAUUGAUUUGAGGACGGUGGAGCUGCAAAAGUUGAGCUGGGGUGGGGAACAUGUUGUUGGGCUUGUGUUUUCGGCUUUAGCUUGAUUCCUUCCUAGUGUUUUUUUUUUCCUUUCUAUUUUUUUCUUUUCCUUCUACACUCGUUGGUUGUUUUUCUCCCACCGCAUUUUUUAGGCUUUCUUGAUCUCAACCAAAAAUAAAAGGCGAUAUUUAUAGAUGCGAUGAAAUGCAAAGAUGGAGAAAGCUUCAAAGUAUUUUGAUAUGUGAUUUUGGAAUGCAAUUACCAAAAUAUAGUUAGCUAUAACUAUUGUUUUAUUUGGCUUGUAUAUUUUCAUGUUUACAGGACUUCCCAACACAUUGAACAUGAAACUUCACUGCAAUCAAUGGUACCAUGCAUAUGAAGAGUCCUAAUUUACAUGACUUCUAUAUCUUCUACAUGGGAAAGGGACUUACUCUUCUUCUUGUGCUUCUUAAUUUCAAAUUGGUUUUGAUUAUGUUUUUUAGUUAGGUAUUGUUUUGAUUUUGAUUUUGGAUUUGCAGGUAUUCCAACUAGCGGCCCAUCCACCCUUCCCAGCAUCUGAUAAGGGUUGGGGUAAAGAAUUAGGCCAAGUACAAUCCUAAUAUACUAUUUUGGAGUCUAUUUAUUUGGCUACUUGAAUUUGUAAUAUUUUCAUUGUAUCUGGAGAUUGUAUUUUUU